rnacentral:rRNA from 1 species
GACGAACGCUGGCGGCGUGCCUAAUACAUGCAAGUUGAGCGAGGAAGAUUGGUGCUUGCACCAAUUUGAAGAGCAGCGAACGGGUGAGUAACGCGUGGGGAAUCUGCCUUUGAGCGGGGGACAACAUUUGGAAACGAAUGCUAAUACCGCAUAACAACUUUAAACAUAAGUUUUAAGUUUGAAGGAUGCAAUUGCAUCACUCAAAGAUGAUCCCGCGUUGUAUUAGCUAGUUGGUGAGGUAAAGGCUCACCAAGGCGAUGAUACAUAGCCGACCUGAGAGGGUGAUCGGCCACAUUGGGACUGAGACACGGCCCAAACUCCUACGGGAGGCAGCAGUAGGGAAUCUUCGGCAAUGGACGAAAGUCUGACCGAGCAACGCCGCGUGAGUGAAGAAGGUUUUCGGAUCGUAAAACUCUGUUGGUAGAGAAGAACGUUGGUGAGAGUGGAAAGCUCAUCAAGUGACGGUAACUACCCAGAAAGGGACGGCUAACUACGUG